AUACCAGUGCAUAGACGCCAGUAGGAGGAUUGCUAGGCUUGAGAAGAGAUGAAGGACGUGGCAAGCUGCGAUAAGCCCGGGGUAGGCGCAAGCGUCCAAUGAUCCCGGGAUCUCCGAAUAGGAAUCCUGUAAGAAUUUACACACCGUACGCAAGUGCGGUGGUCGAACCGUGGGAACUGAAGCAUCUUAGUACCACGUGGAAGAGAAAUCAAUUGAGAUCUCCCAAGUAGCGGCGAGCGAAAAGGAGAGAGCCCAAACUGAAUCUGUUAUGGUAACAUGGCAGAGAUGUGGUGUUCGGUUAUGAUACUACGAUCCAAGAACGCAGCCGAAGUUUUCUGGAACGUUACGGCAUAGAGGGUGAUACCCCCUUAGGCGAAACGGUAUUGGAUCUUAUCAUGACCAGAGUACUUGUCCUUGGUAGUGGGCAAGGAAUUUAGGUGAAAGUAGCAUCUAAGGCUAAACAUUCCUCAAGACCGAUAGUGGACUAGUACCGUGAGGGAAAGCUGAAAAGUACCCCGGAAGGGGGGUGAAAAGUGCAUGAAACCUACUGGUUACAGACGUGGGUGGCAUGGAAGAUGAUUUUUCCAGACUGGAGGUCCUAGCAAUAGGGCUGAAGGUUUGGGGUUCUAGUCAUCAGUGUCAUCCGUUCCGUCUAGAAACACGGGCCAAGGAGCUUACCGUUAUGGCGAGCCUAAACCUGAAAAGGUGGAGGCGAAGGGAAACCGAAUUUCCGCAGCAUCCGCGAGGGAAAGCGUGUGAAAGUGCGUUAAGUCAUAGCGGCAAGGCUAGAAGCCGAGCGAUCUAUCCCUGAGCAAGUUGAAGGCGAGCGAAAGCUCGUUGGAGGACUGAAGCAGUUCUAACGUGCAAAUUGUUUGUCUGACUUGGGGAUAGGGGUCAAAAACCAAUCUAGCUCGGCGCUCGCUAGUUCCAACCGAAGCAUCCCGUAGGGUGUCCUUUGUGGAGACAGCACUUCCUGUAGAGCACUGAUAGGGUGGAGCGGGGAAGAAAUUCCUCACCACCUCUUCAAACUCCGAAGGGAUGUGCAUCGAAGAAGCAGGGAGACGGGUUUGCGUGACGUAAGGUUCGCAACCGAGAGGGGUUUAACCCAGACCAAAGUUAAGGCCCCCAAAUUUGUGCUAAGUGUCAAGCGGAAGAGCGUCAUUACGCCAAGACAGCAGGGAGGUAAGCUCAGAAGCAGCUAUCCUUUAAAAAGUGUGUAACAACUUACCUGCCGAGCGUGGUGGCCUCGAAAAUGGACGGGGCUAAAGCACAGUGCCGAUACUUUGGAUACUUGCCUUAGGGCAAGUCAUGGUAGGUUGGCGUAGCUAUUGGGUCGAAGCAGGGCCGUGAGGUCCUGUGGACCGAUUGCUAUUGCAGAUCUUGGCGGCAGUAACAGCAUAGUAAGGUGAGAAUCCUUACCUUCGCAAGUGCAAGGGUUUCCAGGCAAUGCGUCAUCAGCCUGGAGUUAGUCGGUCCUAAGAAUAAUCUCAACAGAAUUAUUCGAAAGGGAAACUUGUUAAUAUUCAAGUACCUGGUGGAAAGCGUUAUCACUUAUACGAUCGCUUCAAGAUAGGGCAAGUACAACCGUCGUUGUAUCUAACUUUUCGAGGGUUGGGGAGUGUCGUAAUGACGAGAACCAACCCGAGUGAGGAAUGGCUUGGCGUUAGCUGAGUUUGUCCGAGUCUUGGGGACAGUGAAAAAUUGUGUAAGGAGUGAUUCACCAUGGCCGUACCGAGAACCGACACAGGUGCACUGGAUGAGAAGUCCAAGAAGUAUCGGGUAUACCGUAGGCGAGGGAACUCGACAAAUUAGUCCUGUACCUUCGGUAUAAGGGAUGCCUGCAAUCCUAAUGAGAAAUUGGGAUAGCAGGUUGCAAUGACAAGGGGGUUCCGACUGUUUAAUAAAAACACAGGUGACUGCUAGUCCGAAAGGAUGUGUAUAGUCACUGAAUCCUGGCCGGUGCUGGUACCUAAAACUUGGGUUCAACCGAGCUAAGGGCCAGUUAACGCCGGGAGUAACUCUGACUCUCUUAAGGUAAACAAUUGGAUUGCCUUAGUAAAAUCUGGCCGUAUGCUGGAAAGUCUGAGAAUGUCAGGUUAGGUCUUGAAAGCUUAAAAGUUUUGGAGCCCUGAAAAUACCAUGACUGCAGAUAAUCAGCAGGAAAGACUAGAAAGAUUCUAGAAUCCUCAGAGACUAUAUGCCAGAAAUCGUUUUGAACGGUUAAGAUAUAGUCCGACCCCUAUAGCGAUAUAGGGAAGUUUGCAAAUGCAAACUCGCCUUGUUGUCUUGACAAUAAGGUCUUCAAGUAACAGAAGUGAGCCAAAUGCCUUGUCGGGUAAGUUCCGACGUGCAUGAAUGGAACAACGAGAGCCCCACUGUCCCCGCCUACAACCCGGUGAAGCCACAUAAGGUGGACGAACAGUCCAUCAUCUUCCAUCGGGGAGAGAAGACCCCGUGGAGUUUUACUGCAGCUUGUGCUUGCGGUAUAGUUGACAUCGCAUAGAGUAUCUGGUAGCCAUGCUUAACUUCCUCCGGGAGGUUAGGAAGCGUCGUUGUAACACCAGACUUUGUUUGCAGUAUCGCUUAUCAGGUGAAGACCUGAGACACGUGCAGGUGGGCAGUUCGGCUGGGGCGGCACCCCUUUGAAAAGAUAUCAAAGGGGCCCAAAGUUCAGCUCAAACGGGUCAGAAAUCCGUUGAAGAGGGCAAAGCCAAAAGCUGGAUUGACUGGAUCUCCAAACGCACGGGAUCCAGAGACGAAAGUCGGGCUUAGCGAUCCUUCGUGUGCCCACUAUUGGGGCCCGGAGGUGACAGAAAAAUUACCCCAGGGAUAACAGGCUCGUCGCGGGCGAGAGCUCCUAUCGACCCCGCGGUUUGGUACCUCGAUGUCGGCUUUUCCUAUCCUGGUCCUGCAGCAGGGGCCAAGGGUGAGGCUGCUCGCCUAUUAAAAGGGAACAUGAGCUGGGUUUAGACCGUCGUGAGACAGGUCGGUCUCUGCCUGAUGGAAGCGUGGCUGUCUGAGGGGAAGUUGCUCCGAGUACGAGAGGAACAGAGCAGCGUGGCCACUGGUUUACCGGUUGUCUGACAAGGCAGGCCGGGCAGCUAAGCCAUUUGGGCUAAGCGCUGAAAGCAUCUAAGCGCGAAACCCUUCCCGAGACAAGACAGCCCUUCUUACGAUGGAGGUCGGCAGUAGAAGACUGCUUUGAUAGGAUGGAGGUGUAGAUCACAAGCUUCGGCGAGUGGUGAGCCUGCCAUUACUAAACGACCAACGCACUGGUUA
rfam:Thaumarchaeota archaeon N4, WGS project CBTY01000000 data, contig: APF_1883_Contig_3